rnacentral:rRNA from 1 species
CAAAUUGGGUGGUAGACUUCACCUAAGGCUAAAUAUCAGCGAGAGACCGAUAGCGAACAAGUACUGUGAAGGAAAGAUGAAAAGAACUUUGAAAAGAGAGUUAAAUAGUACGUGAAAUUCUUGAAAGGGAAACGAUUGAAGUCAGUCAUGCUAGUGAAAAUUCAGUUUGGUGGGUUUUGGGUUCAGGAGUUGAGGCAGGGUCAAACCGUUUCUCUUUUGAACUUGAAUUUGUCAGAUGCACUUUUUCUUUGGCAGGUCAGCGUCGAUUUCGGAGGUUGUAAAAUACUUGGGGAAAAGUAGCUCUGCUUCGGGAGAGUGUUAUAGACCUUGGGUGAUGCGGCCUGCGGGAUCGAGGAUUGCAGCAAAUGCUUUUGGCUUGUCGCCCGAUCUCUGGACGUCAUCUCGCUCGUAUCAACAUUCUUGGUACCGGUGAGUAAUGGUGCUCAUAGGUUAGAGCGAUCAA